ACCGGGAUGGACGCACCGCUGGUGUACCAGUUGUUCUGCCAAGGGCAUCGCGUGGGUAGCUAUGUGCGGACGGGAUAAGUGCUAGAAAGCAUACUAAGCAUGAAGCCCCCCUCAAGAUGAGAUUUCCCAUUCCGCAAGGAAGUAAGAUCCCUGAAAGAUGAUCAGGUUGAUAGGUCUGAGGUGGAAGUGUGGCGACACAUGGAGCUGACAGAUACUAAUCGAUCGAGGACUUAACCUAAA
rnacentral:rRNA from 1 species